rnacentral:rRNA from 1 species
UACGUAGGUGGCAAGCGUUUGUCCGGAUUUACUGGGCGUAAAGAGCGCGCAGGCGGUCGUUCAAGUCGCGUGUGAAAGCCCCCGGCUCAACUGGGGAGGGUCACGCGAUACUGAUCGACUGGAAGGCAGGAGAGGGUAGUGGAAUUCCCGGUGUAGUGGUGAAAUGCGUAGAUAUCGGGAGGAACACCAGUGGCGAAGGCGGCUUGCCAGAACGCGCUCGACGGUGAGGGAUGAAAGCUGGGGGAGCAACGGG